CCCCAUUAUUUUUUUUUUCUUUUUCUUUUUCUUCUCUUCUUUCACCGUGCCUUAACCCCAGCCUCCCCACCACUCUUCUCCUUCUUUUCUUCUCCGAUCCACGGCCGCCGCCCCUAUUCUUCUUCCUUCUCUUUCGUUUUUCUCUUCCGUUCAAACCACUACCGACUGUCUCUACUUUCGACGAAGCCAAGAUCCCGCCGAGUCCAAGCUUCGUCCACGCAAGCACGCCAACGUCCGAUCUCUUCUCCUCGUUCCGCCGCCGCUGUACCGUUCGCCUGAAGUCGUCGUCCAUUCGGGUUGCACAGUCGAGCCGCCACUCCGCGCGCAUAGUCUACAGCCGAGCCAUUCGCAGCUGAGCCGUUCGCUCCCCACAAAAACCACCCGUGAGCCGCGCGCCGUUUCGUUUAGGUAUUGAAAGUAAUGGUUGGGUCCCUUGUAUUCACAACCAAAAUUGUGAAUUUUGGAGUUCGGCUUGCCAAUACUUGGUAUCUAUCGUUGGAUAUAGUUUAUUCGAGAAAUUGAGUUAUCUUGAGGUAAGGGUUUCUCUACUACUGGACUCAACCACAGUUAUUUAUAUGUAGCAUAUGGAGAUUUUCUGGGAUUAAAUAUGUAGCUGUGGAUGUAGGCAGGACGACCUUAGUAGAUUGUGUUGUAUAUAAUUUUGGAUGUGAAAUUGUGACUUUGAUUCGGUUGGGUGUAGGUUGUACUAAUGUGUGGUUUGUAUUGGUGAACUGAGGGGCGUUUGGUUUGAUUGACUGAUGUAUUAAAAUGUUACCAACGGUCUCUGGACUAAAGUGAGAUAGGUUGACUGUUAGAACGUUAAGUGAGAGAACUAUAUAUGUUGAAGUAGUUGAAUGGUGUUAUAAAUGACUGUUAAAGAGGUUUAGAAUGGACUGAGCUAAAAAUUGUUAGCUUUUAUUGGGAUGUGUGCCUUGUAGGUGGCCUACGGGAUCACCAAUUAUUAUGCAUCUUUCGGGAGCAUUAGAUUGAUAUGUGUUUCUGCAUAACACUAGACUGAAAUGUACGUCCCUUGAGACGUUAGACUGAUACGGGAUCACAAGACGGUGACUGUGCAGGGCAAAGGGUAACAAGAGUGGCAAACCGGCGAGGGGCAAGAAGGAAGUGUGAUUGUCAUAGGGAACAUCUUUAUUUUGCUUCCGCUUUACGUUUUUUGAUGUUUAAAACAUUGUGUUGGAACUUAUUUUACGAACUAUUACUUUGGUAAACGGUACUUUUAAAGUUUUAGUUGUUUGAAACCGGGCCUGUUUAAAGUUGUUUUUCCUCGAUUGUAUGUUUUUCAAAUGUCCUAUAUUUCAUUUUGUAUCAAUCAAGAUCUUUUGUCAAAAGUUAAAGAUCUCGACUUAGGUAGAAAAGUUGGGUCGUUACAUUUUCGAAUUUUUUUAAAGUUUUAGAAACAUUUUUUAAA